rnacentral:rRNA from 1 species
GAUGAACGCUGGCGGCGUGCCUAAUACAUGCAAGUCGAGCGAACGGACGAGAAGCUUGCUUCUCUGAUGUUAGCGGCGGACGGGUGAGUAACACGUGGAUAACCUACCUAUAGGACUGGGAUAACCUCGGGAAACCGGAGCUAAUACCGGAUAAUAUUUUGAACCGCAUGGUUCAAAAGUGAAAGACGGUCUUGCUGUCACUUAUAGAUGGAUCCGCGCUGCAUUAGCUAGUUGGUAAGGUAACGGCUUACCGAGGCAACGAUGCAUAGCCGACCUGAGAGGGUGAUCGGCCACACUGGAACUGAGACACGGUCCAGACUCCUACGGGAGGCAGCAGUAGGGAAUCUUCCGCAAUGGGCGAAAGCCUGACGGAGCAACGCCGCGUGAGUGAUGAAGGUCUUCGGAUCGUAAAACUCUGUUAUUAGGGAAGAACAUAUGUGUAAGUAACUGUGCAUAUCUUGACGGUACCUAAUCAGAAAGCCACGGCUAACUACGUG